rnacentral:tRNA from 1 species
CUCUAUUAAAGGAAAAUAGCCCCUCCA